UUCACACAACCCAUGUAAUACAUAAGGGAAAGAGAUACAUAGUUGGCUUACAAUUGCCACUUCACACAAUUACAUGAAUAAAACAUUACAUCAUCCAGUUUCACACAAGGUGCGACUACGGAACCAAAAUAAAAGAAGACUACCCCAAAAGCUACACAGAUCCCCGAUCGACCCCAACUGGGCUCCACUACUGAUCAACUAGAACGAAACAACAUAAAGGACAAGAUCUUCAUCGAGCUCCUCCUUGAGCUUGGUUGCGUCAUCUGCACGGUUCAACGGCACCUGCAAGCUGGUUUUGGAAGUAUUUGUGAGUCACGGGGACUCAACAAUCUUACACCCUUGCGAUCAAGACAAUUUAAGCUCAUAGGAAGGGUACAAGGUAUGAGGUGGAGCUGCAGCAAGCGACUAGCAUAUAUGGUGGCUAACAUACGCAAAUGACAGCGAGAAGAGAAGGCAAUGCAUGGUCGAGAAAACUAUGAUCAACAAGUGAUCCUAGAACAACCUACGUCAAGCAUAACUCCAACACCGUGUUCACUUCCUGGACUCCGCCGGAAAGAGACCAUCACGGUUACACACGCGGUUGAUGUAUUUUAAUUAAGGUCAACUUCAGGUUUUCUACAACCGGACAUUAACAAAUUCCCAUCUGCCCAUAACCGCGGGCACGACUUUUGAAAGUUCAAAUCCCUGCAGGGGAGUCCCAACUUAGCCCAUGAUAAGCUCUCACGGUCAACGAAGGAUAUACCUUCUCCCGAGACAUUCCGAUCAGACUCGGUAUCCCGGUUCUACAAGACAACUUCGACAAGUUAAAACAAAUCCAGCAACACCGCCCAAAUGUGCCGACAAAUCCCGAUAGGAGCUGCACAUAUCUCGUUCUCAGGGCACACUCAAAUUGUCUAAACUUCCGGUAGGCCAGCCCAGAGUUGCCCCUGGUGGCCACCGGCGGCUGAUAGGUUGGACCAACACUCAGAGGAGCACUGGCCCGGUGGUUUAAAUAAAGAUGACCCUUGAGUCCGCGGAACCCAAGGGAAAAAGAGGCUAGGUGGCGAAUGGUAAAACCAAAGUUGGGCAUUGCUGGAAGAGUUUUAUUCAAGGCGAACUGUCAAGGGGUUCCCAUUAUUACCCAACCGCGUAAGGAACACAAAAUCCGGGAACAUAACACCGAUAUGACAGAAACUAGGGCGGCAAGAGUGGAACAAAACACCAGGCAUAAGGCCGAGCCUUCCACCCUUUACCAAGUAUAUAGAUGCAUUAAUUAAAUAAGAUAUAUCGUGAUAUCCCAACAAGUAACCAUGUUCCAACAAGGAACAACAUCUCCAUGUUCCCACAAGGAACAAACUUCAAUCUUCACCUGCAACUGACAACGCUAUAAGAGGGGCUGAGCAAAGCGGUAACAUAGCCAAACAACGGUUUGCUAGGAUAAGGUGGGUUAGAGGCUUGGUUCAACAAUAUAGGAGUCAUGAUAAGCAAGUGGUAGGUAUCGCAGCAUAGGCAUAGCAAAAGAGCGAGCAUCUAGCAAGCAAAGAUAGAAGUGAUUUCGAGGGUAUGGUCAUCUUGCCUGAAAUCCCGCAAGGAAGAAUGAGCCCAUGAAGAAGACAAAUGGAUGUAGUCGAACGGGUCCUCACAAACGCGACGUUAUUGGAACCACCCGAAGAAGCAACACCGGAAAGAAGCAAACAACAUAGUAAACAACCAACACAUCAACAUGGCAUGAUGCACAAUCAAGUAUGAUGCAUGUCCGGUUUAAUGAAGCAUGGCAUGGCAAAGUGCACAAGCAACACUACAAAUUAAGUGGAGCAAACGGUGACACCAUGACAAGUUAUUUAGUUCGAUCUCGUUUAUGUACCCAACAAUAUUAAAUGUUGUUAAGCAUGGCAAGAGGUGAAGCAAAGUAAACUACCUAUCUAGUCAAGUUUAAAUGAGGCCGAAAGCAACGAACAACAAUUCCGGAAACUCCUAAUGAGCAUAUUAUAGAUUUGGUACUGUUCUGCCCUAAGCCAUAUUUUAGAGUUGUUAAACAUGCAAAGUAAAGCCACAUGGUUAAACUAGGCAUUUUUCUACCCCAUUUACAUAUAAAGAUUAUUUAAUUCGGAG
rnacentral:lncRNA from 1 species